UAUGUGUAUAUGUAUUUUUACUGUUAGUUCUCAAAGUAACUUUUUUCAUAAGUCUAUUUUCUAUUUCUCUUUCUUACAGAUUGAUGCCGAAUUUUUGCACAACACAACCUUACCUUUACAGUUAAGAUUUAUGGCCUCUUUGGACAGACAGAGCUCUCAGAUUCUCCAGGUUAUUAGGAGCAAAGGUGGAGUCCUCCGUGAAAAAGCGAAGGACACUAUUUAAGUUAUGGAUCAGAGCCUGGACAUAGACAUCAGAAGACAGUGCCUGCUGAAGUGCCUGAUCAUGUACCUUUGUGAAGAUGCAAGCUGUCUGAUCGAAGAAUACCAGGCUGACCAGAGGGAGGAAGCAAUGGGUGAAUUUGAAAAGACCACUAUGACACUUUUUGUGACCCGUGAAAGUGAUGAAAGUGAAAGUGAGUGCACUGGACAUUUCGAUUGUCAUUGACUGUGUGGAAGUACUAAAUGAGUUGCCUUCUGUUGCAUGUCCCUGCGCCAUGAUGUUUGGACUCAUUUAUGCACUGAACUUAAAAUAUCCCGAAGGACUCAAAUAUAUUUUUUUGAGACCUUUCAAAAAAUAAUCAUGGACUUGGAGAGUAGACAGAUGAGCCGAAGGGUGCCGAACCUGCAGGAGUAAGCAGAUGUGCUGAAGAGUGCAGAACCUCUCUUUAAAGCUACUGGAGAUAACUUGUAUCCUUUGACUCAACUACAGUGUUCUGAUUGCGAUAUAUUUUAGAUGUUGGACUUCUUCAUUUCUUCAUCCUCAUUAUAAAGCAUUAAAUAGUUUACCAAAACAUGAAAGUUCAUACAUUGUUUACUCAUCUUUAAGCUAUUCUAAGUAUUUAACUUUAAUUAAAUUAGGUUCAGAGAAAUUUAAUGACAAUUAUGAGAGAAGUUUAAUUUUUCGGUAAACUAUUUCAUUAAGGUGAAGACUUCUCUUUCAACAGUUGGCUAAUUUGUUACAGAGUUAUUAAAAAGUAUUUAAUUUUACACUGCACAUUUUAAGCCAUUUUUUGGGCCAAACUUGUUUUAACCUCAGAAGAAUUCUUAAGGUUUUGUGUAGUCAGUUUUGAUUGACUGUUCAUGAAAAGGUGUCCAAUGAUUACUGAUUCCUAUGGUGAACUUACAUUGUAUCCAGGGUCUUUGUAUAUGGAUACUAAAAACUGUUGUACAGUAUAAUUUUAUAAAAAUGCUAUGCACAUUGUAGAAAUGUUUUAUGACAUAAAUUGUCAUGUUUGUUAUGUUUACAUUGUUAGAUAGUGUGUAUUUGUACUGUACACAUUGUAAAAAAUGUGGUAUUGACAAAAUAAAUUGUCAAUAGUU